CAGCAGUCGCCGCGGUAAUACGUAGGUGGCAAGCGUUGUCCGGAAUUAUUGGGCGUAAAGGGCUCGCAGGCGGUUUCUUAAGUCUGAUGUGAAAGCCCCCGGCUCAACCGGGGAGGGUCAUUGGAAACUGGGAAACUUGAGUGCAGAAGAGGAGAGUGGAAUUCCACGUGUAGCGGUGAAAUGCGUAGAGAUGUGGAGGAACACCAGUGGCAAAGGCGACUCUCUGGUCUGUAACUGACGCUGAGGAGCGAAAGCGUGGGGAGCGAACAGGAUUAGAUACCCCAGUAGUCCCUGUCUCUUAUAC
rnacentral:rRNA from 1 species